GGUGGGUGAUCACCUGACUUCCUCCCAAAGGUCCUUGAACCAUAAACCAUAGAGUUUCACCCGAUCACAUGACCCGCAGGUCCUGCGAUGCUAACUAGAGGGACACUCUACUCUUUUGGAGAUUUCUCAAUUAGAAGUUAUAUGGGCAAUGACACAUUUAACAAUGACACAUACCCAACAAAAACCAAAUACAUGCUGAAAUGGGAGGAGGAGAUGGAUAGAAAGUUCCCUAUUUCAAUGUGGUUGAAAGCCCUUUCUAUAGGUAGACAUUUUUCUAGAUGCGCUAACCACGGCGAACAACUGGAAAAACUAUAUUACCGAUGGUACUUUACCCCAAAACAGUUGGCUACUCUAUAUACUGAUCAAGAUCCUGUUUAUUGGAGAGGUUGCGGGAUGAUUGGAUCCUUAUGUCAUAUAUUCUGGAAAUGCCCAAAACUGACGAAAAUAAAGGAUGACCUGCUAUCUCUUUUACAAACCCUCUCCCCAUCAAUCCAUAUUAUCCCUAAAGAACUGGUCCUCCUCAUGUUGGGUAUAGAUGGUUUCCUGAUACUAUUCAAUUCCCGAUAUGCCACAUUCUGCACAACUUCAGAUUGCUAAUUGCUAGAAAAUGGAGGUCAUCAGAUAUCCUAACAAUUGCCGAGAUCAUGCAUAUGGUAAACUACAAUUUAAUCUUUGAAGAGGUGAUUGCUAGACAGGAGCAUAAAACAGAGGUUUUUAAAAAGAAUUGGGAUUUGUGGAUUCGCCAAUUUAACACUUCAUAGGUCCUCCCCUAUCAUUGAACCACUGGCCUUAUUGACAGAUAGGUCUUACAUUAGGUCUCUUCUUUCUAUAUUAUCCGAUCGCAGUUAUUUACGGAGUGUGGCGGGGUUCGGAGAUAUUCACAGCCUUAGAUUGUGAUAGUAAGAGAAAACAGAUAAAAUGUGCUGUUGGGAAACUCCAAAGAUAUACUGCAAUCAACUGCAAACAUGACAGAAGAUGUAAGGGUAACAAGUGCUACACUUCAUUUGGGACUUAUGUUCAGAUAUUAAAAAUUGUCAUUAGAAUAUUAUAAUUUUUUUUAGUUGUCAUUGUGGUUGUAUACAUAGGGUCGACUACCAUAUCAAGA